UUUAUUUUGCACGUGCUAAAAUGGAUUUAAAGAAUGACCUAAGCUUUGUUUGGUUCUUAUGCCUCAUGGAAUUAAAGUGCAAGGAAUUCCAAGGUUUGUGAGCUACAAUUAUUGGGAAAAGGGAAGGCCAAGAAUUUCGUACAAGUAGGAAUAACGGAAGCUACUUUUCACCUAUAAUUGGAAUGCCUUGGUACAUGUGUUAUGCAACUAAGGAAGAAUCAAUUCCUACUUUACAAAGUCUAGUCCUUAUAGGAAGAUAAAUUAAGAAAAAGACAAUUGAUGAAGGAGGUUGAUCUACAAGGUGAUCUCUUCCAUGUCCAUCUCGUUUCCUACACCCCACAACAAGCCAAGGAUUUUUCUCCAGCCUAUCAAAUGAAACACAAAAAUAGUAAGAUUUUGCCCAACCAAAAUUUACAAGUGUACAACAAAUCCACCAAAUAAAGGAGAGAAAUGAUGCUUGGUGAUUUCUAUAUCUUCUCAAAGAUGUAAUAGAGACAAAAGACUAAGUGAUGGUGACCUCCUAAACUCUCCCCAAUGCUUUACACCGAUUAGGCAAGAUGCCUUUUUGUCAUGUUAAAAGGGGAAGGAACCCAUAGCUAGAAAUACAAGAGCAUCCUUCCCAAUGCUAACACCAAAGGGGUAGUAAAGCUUUUAUCACAAAUUCAAAAGAGAAGGAAUAUUUAUUCCAAAUUAUCCACGAAAUGCUAAGACUUUUCUCCUAUAAAAGCAGCCCACCACCACCUUCCUUCACACACCCUUAGACACCUAAAAUUCACAAUACAUAAGAGGAGUAGCAAGGGUCGGGAGGAAUGGCAAGAGAGCAAUUCAACAAACAAGAGGAAUCCACAAGUAAGGUUGAGCAGUGAUGACGGCGGGUGGUGUUGAGCAUAGACGAUGAAGAUCCUUCGAUAAAAUAGUACUCGGAUGCGACGUGUCUUCAUAGACGACGUUAUUUGCUCUUGACUCUUCCGCUGCAAUGUAAAAGUCAAGUUUGCGUUCUUUGUAUCGUGCACUCUGAUAUAUAUUAUUUGAGUUAUUUCGGUUAAA